GCGGCUCUUAGGCUGGAUUUGGGACAGGAAAGGAAGCGGCGGCCGCGGGGGCCCGACCCUCAAAUCCACGGCGUGCGUGGAGCUGCGAGCACGUGGUCGGCGCAGGAAAUCUCUGCGGUGGGGAGGGGUCGCCAAUGCUCGCGCGGCUGCUGGGACUUGCGACCCCCUUGUAGGAGGCUUGGGGUCGGGCUGCGGCGCUGCAGCGCUCGCUGCCAGCAAAGCAAAGGCGUACUGAGGCCCUGACUAAGAGGGAAGUCGCGGAAGGAGGCCCGGGUGGGCUGCGGUGAGGGAACCCCGCUUCCCCAGCCGCGUUUCUUUCUUCGCAAUCUUUGCGCGAAGUCAAUGGAGAAACAGCCAAAGCUCGAGUUACUUCCAGGAGAGGCAAAGGAGAGGCAAGGACGCGGGACCCAGCACAGAGCUCACUGCACAAACGGCGCCGUGGGAGAGGGGCCUCUAGAGGGAUGGGGACGCCAGGGUCUCCUGCAGCCCAGGAGCGCCGGUAUUCCAAGGGCCGACUUUUCUGAGCCCAGCCUCCCCUUGCCCUAAGGAGACCGGCUGGAAGCGGCGCUGGCAGGCCAGGGGGCAAGGAUGGGAUGACCCCAAUUGAAGGGACAAGGCCAGCCAGGUCCCCAAAGUCCGCAACCCUAGUCCAGGCUGGAAAUCCGGGGCGUGGGUGCCCUGCAGGCGUGCUCUCCACUUCACCUGUGCAGAUUUUAACAAUCAGACUCAGGUCAACAGUGGUUGAGAUAAUGGCCCAUAAUUGGCUCCAGAAUGCAAACGUGGCAUUUCUCCAGGAUUCCAUUAGCUCAGAAUGACAAGAUGAGGACUACUUCCUGCACGAUGACCACAGCGGCUAAGAGGCUGAGGCAGGAGAACCGCUUGAACCCAGAAGGUGGAGACUGUGGUGAGCGGAGAUUGUGCUGUUGCAUUCCAGCCUGGGCGGCAGAGCAAAAGUCUGCCUCAAAUAAAUACAUAAAUAAAUGUCCUCUGUGCUGUCUCUGUGGAGGAUCAAGAGUGGUGGGACCAGUGGGGGAACAGGAGACAGUGAGGAGGCCAGGCCCACAGGCCAGUGG
rnacentral:lncRNA from 1 species